rnacentral:misc_RNA from 1 species
GCCAUUGGGGGGGUAUCAGGGGGCAAGUGCGUUAGCCGUCCACAUCCUCCACCAGGGAACAGCACAGGACGCGAUCACGGAACCCUGCCCGUGAACAGAGUGAAAUCUACCGAAAUCGUUUCAUCGGGAAAUCGCUGAUUCUUAAGACUGCAUGAAAUAACGUAUUGCAAUUUUAAGAAACUUUGUUAUUAUAUUGUCAAAUCCCCCAUUGUCAGGUCAAAAAUGACGUCAUAUGUAAGAUAGAACCUACGUGACAAAAGAUGAAUACGGAGAUAUUUCUUGUCUAUGCCUUAAACAAACACUCAUAUUUGUUUUGACAUACGAUUUGCACGAUAAAACAAGACUCAAGACAAUGGACGUAGUGGAUACAACAAUGGAAACCUCAAAUCCUUACAACAUGAAAAAUUAUUACAUCGGUUUAGGGUUAGCAAUCAGCUCAAGCGGUUUUAUAGGAGCUAGUUUUAUUAUUAAGAAAAAAGCACUUAUCAGAUUAGAGCGGUAUGGAAUUCGUGCCGGUGCUGGUGGUUUCGGUUAUUUAAGACAAUGGAUUUGGUGGGCUGGCUUAUUAUCCAUGGGAAUUGGGGAAGCAGCAAACUUUGCUGCUUAUGCAUUUGCUCCCGCUUCUUUAGUUACACCUUUGGGUGCAUUAAGUGUCUUAGUAGCGGCAAUUUUAGCAUCUAAAUUCCUCAACGAGAAAUUGAAUUUACUUGGAAAAAUUGGGUGUUUUCUGUGUAUCUUAGGUUCGACUAUGAUUGUAAUACAUUCGCCAAAAGAAGAAGAAGUAGAAAACUUAAAGGAGCUAUUGAUAAAAUUAAAAGAUCCUGGAUUUAUUAGUUACGUUUUUUUCAUUAUAACCGGUAGCUUAUCUAUAAUUUUUCAUUUUGGACCGCUCUAUGGAAAGCAGUAUAUUGUUGUCUAUAUACUUCUUUGUUCCAGCAUUGGUUCGUUAACUGUAAUGAGUUGCAAAGGUCUUGGUUUAGCUCUGAAAGAAACUUUUUAUGGUGUCAACAAUGAAAUGGGCAACUGGCUGACAUGGGCGUUUCUAUUCACUAUUAUUGUUUGCAUCAUGAUUCAAAUGAAUUAUUUAAACAAAUCCUUAGACCUAUUCAAUACUGGAAUUGUGACUCCUACCUAUUAUGUCUUUUUUACCACACUUGUAAUAAUAGCUUCGGUGAUACUCUUUCGAGAGUGGCGACAUAUGACUGCUGAAGACAUUAUAGGCUCAUUGUAUGGAUUCUUUACGAUCAUCACUGGUAUAUUUCUUCUUAACGCCUUCAGGGACAUUGAUAUUAGCUAUAACAAUAUUAAACAAAUAUUCAAUCCCAAGAGACACAUAGUAGGGAGUCACAAUUCAAGGUGGAAUUCCAGAGAUGAUGAAGGGUUACUAACUAGAUCAGAGUCCGAUCAAGAACACGGGUAUGGAAGCCCAGGAAUUACUCGAACAAUAUGACGCAUGGAGUAAUGUAUAAAUGUAUAUGAACGAAUAUGUGUACAUAGUCAGGAGUAUGAUAAAAGAAUGUAUAAUUAAUGUAUAGUAGUUUGCGUAAAAAGAUAUUUGCAUAUAAAUUGUUUAAAAAAGAAAUCUAUAACAUAAGAUUCUCAAUUUGGGAAUACAACAUUCUAACAUGGCUUCAUGAGCAAGAACGGUGGGAACCAUUGAUCUAAUCUGUAUUAACCUUUUGGCUACUAAGAGCGCCUAAAGGCGUCCGACGUUUGGUCCAAUAUUGCCUGCACGGUCAGACGAAUUUCGCUCAUACGAGUAUGUCAAAAUGGCUCCGUGUUCAAAGGUUAAUAAUAAGUUUGCACUGACGCUAUUUUAAUUAUAACUUGAACAAAAGUAGAAACUUGUAGUAGAAGCUUUAUGAAUUUUAAAAUGUAGAAAAUUAUUUAUAAAAUGUCUAUUUAUGAUAUUUAAUAAAAAGCAGCUUUAAGGAUUCAACAAAAUGAUAACUACACCGAUGCGUCACGUCAAAACCAAGGAAAUCCUAUGUAAUUUCAUAAAUUUUACCAUUUGCCAUCAAUAAUAUUUAUUGACACGAAAUUGUAUACAGCUGCUCAUCUAAGAACUAUAUUUUCUGUUAAUUUCAGAACUUACGCACACAAAAUAGAUCACGCUUCUGAAAUUCUGUUUUAUCAAAAUAAUUUGCUUCGAUGAAUUGAAGACAGAAUACAAAGAUCCUAUCGAUCAAUGUAAUAGUUUAAACCCAUUAGUUCUUCCAGAGUAUGGGUUACACAUCUUUUUUAACAUACU